UUGGAGGGCAAGUCUGGUGCCAGCAGCCGCGGUAAUUCCAGCUCCAAUAGCGUAUAUUAAAGUUGUUGCAGUUAAAAAGCUCGUAGUUGAAUUUCGGUAUCAGAGUGUCGGUCGUGCCUCGGUACGUACUGGUAUUAUUGGUUCCUACCUUCUGAAGAACCGCGAUGUCAUUAAUUUGGUGUCGUGGGGAAUCAGGACUGUUACUUUGAAAAAAUUAGUGUGUUUAAAGCAGGCUUACGCUUGAAUACAUUAGCAUGGAAUAAUGAAAUAGGACGUUUGAUUCUAUUUUGUUGGUUUCUAGGAUUGACGUAAUGAUUAAUAGGGAUAGUUGGGGGCAUUAGUACUCAAUUGUCAGAGGUGAAAUUCUUGGAUUUAUUGAAGACUAACUACUGCGAAAGCAUUUGCCAAGGAUGUUUUCAUUAAUCAAGAACGAAAGUUAGGGGAUCGAAGACGAUCAGAUACCGUCGUAGUCUUAACCAUAAACUAUGCCGACUAGGGAUCGGAUGAUGUUAAUUUUUUAAUGACUCAUUCGGCGCCUUACGGGAAACCAAAGUGUUUGGGUUC
rnacentral:rRNA from 1 species